AUUGAACGCUGGCGGCAUGCUUUACACAUGCAAGUCGAACGGUACAGGCCUUCGGGUGCUGACGAGUGGCGACCGGGUGAGUAAUGCAUCGGAACGUGCCCAGAGGUGGGGGAUAACGCAGCGAAAGCUGUGCUAAUACCGCAUGUGAUCUGAGGAUGAAAGCGGGGGACCAAGCAGCAAUGUUUGGCCUCGCGCCUCUGGAGCGGCCGAUGUCAGAUUAGGUAGUUGGUGGGGUAAAGGCCUACCAAGCCGACGAUCUGUAGCUGGUCUGAGAGGACGACCAGCCACACUGGGACUGAGACACGGCCCAGACUCCUACGGGAGGCAGCAGUGGGGAAUUUUGGACAAUGGGCGCAAGCCUGAUCCAGCAAUGCCGCGUGCGGGAAGAAGGCCUUCGGGUUGUAAACCGCUUUUGUACGGAACGAAAAGGCUCUGGCUAAUACCUGGGGCUGAUGACGGUACCGUAAGAAUAAGCACCGGCUAACUACGUG
rnacentral:rRNA from 1 species